rnacentral:rRNA from 1 species
UCAAGUGACUAAGUGUAUGUGGUGGAUGCCUUGGCGAUCACAGGCGAAGAAGGACGUAGUAGCUUGCGAUAAGCUGCGGGGAGCCGGCAAACGGGCAUUGAUCCGCAGAUUUCCGAAUGGGGGAACCCACCGACGUAAGUCGGUAUCACACACUGAAUACAUAGGUGUGUGAGGCGAACGGAGCGAACUGAAACAUCUAAGUAGCUCCAGGAAAAGAAAUCAACCGAGAUUGCGAAAGUAGCGGCGAGCGAAAUCGCAGCAGCCCAGUGUUCUGAUAGCACGAACGACAGCAGAAAGGUCUGGAAAGGCCUGCUAUAGAGGGUGAUAGCCCCGUAUGCGAAAUCGGACGUGUGGUACUAAGGGACCGAUAAGUAGGGCGGGACACGUGACAUCCUGUCUGAAGAUGGGGGGACCAUCCUCCAAGGCUAAAUACUCGUGAUCGACCGAUAGUGAACCAGUACUGUGAAGGAAAGGCGAAAAGAACCCCGGGAGGGGAGUGAAAUAGAACCUGAAACCGCAUACAUACAAACAGUAGGAGCCCGUGUAGUCGGGUGACUGCGUACCUUUUGCAUAAUGGGUCAGCGACUUACGUUUUGUGGCGAGCUUAACCGAGUAGGGGAGGCGUAGCGAAAGCGAGUUCGAAUAGAGCGAGAAGUCUCAAGGCGUAGACCCGAAACCAGAUGAGCUAUCCAUGGCCAGGUUGAAGGUGUGGUAACACACACUGGAGGACCGAACCGACUAGUGUUGCAAAAUUAGCGGAUGAGCUGUGGAUAGGGGUGAAAGGCUUAACAAAUCUGGAGAUAGCUGGUUCUCCCCGAAAACUAUUGAGGUAGUGCCUCGUGUAUUGCUCCAGGGGGUAGAGCACUGUUAUGGCUAGGGGGACAUGGCGUCUUACCAAACCAUGGCAAACUCCGAAUACUUGGAAGUAAGAGCACGGGAGACAGAGCACCGGGUGCUAACGUCCGGACUCAAGAGGGAAACAACCCAGACCGCCGUUUAAGGUCCCAAAUAUUGACUAAGUGGAAAACGAAGUGUGAAGGCUAAGACAGUCAGGAAGUUGGCUUAGAAGCAGCCAUCCUUCAAAGAAAGCGUAAUAGCUCACUGAUCGAGUCCUCAUGCGCGGAAGAUGUAACGGGGCUAAGUCAAUAACCGAAAGCGCGGAUUUGCAUGAAAAUGCAAGUGGUAGGGGAGCGUUCUGUAAGCCUGCGAAGGUGGUUCGAGAGGACUGCUGGAGGUAUCAGAAGUGCGAAUGCUGACAUGAGUAACGUUAAAGCGGGUGAAAAGCCCGCUCGCCGUAAGCCCAAGGUUUCCUGCUCUACGUUCAUCGGAGCAGGGUGAGUCGGCCCCUAAGGCCAGGCUGAGAAGCGUAGUCGAUGGGAAGCAGAUUAAUAUUUCUGCACCAUGUGCAAGUGCGAUGGGGGGACGGAGUGCGAAAGAUCAUCCGGGUGUUGGAUGUCCCGGUUUGUGAGUGUAGAAGGCCGACAGGCAAAUCCGUCGGCAGAUCUUCGAGACAAAGCAUCGAGGUUCUACGGAACCGAAGUGAUCGGAAGUGCUUCCAGGAAAAGCCUCUAAGCUCCAGCUUGCAUGUGACCGUACCGUAAACCGACACUGGUGGGCGAGUUGAAUAUACUCAGGCGCUUGAGAGAACUCGGGAGAAGGAACUCGGCAAAUUGACACCGUAACUUCGGGAUAAGGUGUGCCUUUGUAGCGUGAAGAGAGAAACGCUCGGAGCGUGAAGAGGCCUCAGAGAAUCGGUGGCUGCAACUGUUUAUUAAAAACACAGCACUCUGCAAAGACGAAAGUCGACGUAUAGGGUGUGAUGCCUGCCCGGUGCUGGAAGAUUAAGUGAUGGGGUGAGAGCUCCUGAUCGAAGUCCCAGUAAACGGCGGCCGUAACUAUAACGGUCCUAAGGUAGCGAAAUUCCUUGUCGGGUAAGUUCCGACCUGCACGA